GUAACGGCGAGCGAACGGGGAAGAGCCCAGCACCGAAUCCUGCAGCCUUGCGCUGUUGGGAAAUGUGGUGUUUAGGACUUCUUAUUGGAUGCGCAGCUUACUUAAAGUUCACUUGAUUGUGACUUUUGGCCCGGAGAGGGUGUAAGGCCCGUCUGGGUAGGCUACUAUUCUUCUGAGAGGUCCUUAGAGUCGGGUUGUUUGAGAUUGCAGCCCAAAGUUGGUGGUAAACUCCAUCUAAGGCUAAAUACUGAACACUAGUCCGAUAGUCAACAAGUACCGUGAGGGAAAGUUGAAAAGAACUUUGAAGAGAGAGUUCAAUAGUGCGUGAAGCCGUCUAGAGGUAAACGGAUGGGGCCGAAGUUGGCUUCGGGGAUUCAGCCGAUGGGGCUAGUGGUGUUGAGUUUGUCCGACUCUGUUACAGGGAGGACUGCUUGACUUAUUACUGCUGUCUCGUCGGUGCACUUUCCCUUAGUCUACACUACGACCGGCGGACUGAUGGUCUGUCGUUGGGGGUUGGUAGCGUCGGCUUCGGCUGGCGUGAAGCUUCUGACACGGAACUGUCGGGCUGCUGGGACUGCGAUGCAAGCCUUGAGGCGCACAGGACAGGACUGUAUUGAGGCUGCUUUUGGGUGGACUUCGUUAAGACUGCUCCAGGUGACUUUGGUGUGGUCAGCCCUCUAUGAUUUGUGUCAAUAGUCUGUGGUGUUAAAGUAGGCAACCUAUGUGACCCGUCUUGAAACACGGACCAAGGAGUCUAGCAAAUACGCGAGUCAUUGGGCGUUACGAAACCCAAAGGCGAAGUGAAAGCAAAGAUCUGUUUACACAGAUUUAGGUGUGAUCCUGGUUGUCUUUAAUGGCUCUAGGCGCAACACCGGCCCGUCUUCUAGUGUUUUUCACUGGGGCGGAGCAAGAGCGUAUUUGCUGAAACCCGAAAGAUGGUGAACUAUGCUUGCGCAGGUUGAAGCCAGAGGAAACUCUGGUGGAGGACCGUAGCGAUUCUGACGUGCAAAUCGAUCGUCAGACGUGAGUAUAGGGGCGAAAGACUAAUCGAACCAUCUAGUAGCUGGUUCCCUCCGAAGUUUCCCUCAGGAUAGCUGGCAUGCUCGGAGAAAACAGUUUUAUCCGGUAAAGCGAAUGAUUAGAGGUAUUGGGGUCGAAAUGACCUCAACCUAUUCUCAAACUUUAAAUGGGUGAGAAGCUGGACUCUCUUGAUUGGAGUCUGGCAUUGAAUGUGUGUGCCUAGUGGGCCAUUUUUGGUAAGCAGAACUGGCGCUGUGGGAUGAACCAAACGUCUAGUUAAGGUGCCUAACACGACGCUUAUAAGAUACCACAAAAGGUGUUGAUAGAUCCAGACAGCAGGACGGUGGCCAUGGAAGUUGGAAUCCGCUAAGGAGUGUGUAACAACUCACCUGCCGAAUCUAUCAGCCCUGAAAAUGGAUGGCGCUGAGCGUUGGACCUAUACUAGACCGUCACCGCAAGUUGUUUCGAGUAAGCGGUGUCGAGUAGGAGGGUCGCCGUGGUGAGCGUUGAAGCUUAGUCUGUGAAGGCUGGUGGAGCCGCCACGGGUGCAGAUCUU
rnacentral:rRNA from 1 species